rnacentral:rRNA from 1 species
GUAAGCUACUAAGAGCAAAUGGUGGAUGCCUUGACUGGUAAAGGCGAUGAAGGACGUACUAGACUGCGAUAAGCUACGGGGAGCUGUCAAGAAGCUUUGAUCCGUAGAUUUCCGAAUGGGGCAACCCAAUGUAUAGAGAUAUACAUUACCUAUAUAGGAGCGAACGAGGGGAAUUGAAACAUCUUAGUACCCUCAGGAAAAGAAAUCAAUAGAGAUUGCGUCAGUAGCGGCGAGCGAAAGCGCAAGAGGGCAAACCCAGUGCUUGCACUGGGGGUUGUAGGACUGCAAUGUGCAAGAGGUGAGUUUAGCAGAACAUUCUGGAAAGUAUAGCCAUAGAGGGUGAUAGUCCCGUAUGCGAAAAACAAACCUUAGCUAGCAGUAUCCUGAGUAGGGCGGGACACGAGAAAUCCUGUCUGAAGCUGGGUCGACCACGAUCCAACCCUAAAUACUAAUACCAGAUCGAUAGUGCACAAGUACCGUGAGGGAAAGGUGAAAAGAACUGAGGUGAUCAGAGUGAAAUAGAACCUGAAACCAUUUGCUUACAAUCAUUCAGAGCACUAUGUAGCAAUACAGUGUGAUGGACUGCCUUUUGCAUAAUGAGCCUGCGAGUUGUGGUGUCUGGCAAGGUUAAGCAAACGCGAAGCCGUAGCGAAAGCGAGUCUGAAUAGGGCGCUUAGUCAGAUGCUGCAGACCCGAAACGAAGUGAUCUAUCCAUGAGCAAGUUGAAGCUAGUGUAAGAACUAGUGGAGGACUGAACCCAUAGGCGUUGAAAAGCCCCGGGAUGACUUGUGGAUAGGGGUGAAAGGCCAAUCAAACUUCGUGAUAGCUGGUUCUCUCCGAAAUAUAUUUAGGUAUAGCGUUGUGUCGUAAUAUAAGGGGGUAGAGCACUGAAUGGGCUAGGGCAUACACCAAUGUACCAAACCCUAUCAAACUCCGAAUACCUUAUAUGUAAUCACAGCAGUCAGGCGGCGAGUGAUAAAAUCCGUCGUCAAGAGGGAAACAACCCAGACUACCAGCUAAGGUCCCUAAAUCUUACUUAAGUGGAAAACGAUGUGAAGUUACUUAAACAACCAGGAGGUUGGCUUAGAAGCAGCCAUCCUUUAAAGAAAGCGUAAUAGCUCACUGGUCUAGUGAUUUUGCGCGGAAAAUAUAACGGGGCUAAAGUAAGUACCGAAGCUGUAGACUUGACUUUGUCAAGUGGUAGGAGAGCGUUCUAUUUGCGUCGAAGGUAUACCGGUAAGGAGUGCUGGAGCGAAUAGAAGUGAGCAUGCAGGCAUGAGUAGCGAUAAUUAAUGUGAGAAUCAUUAACGCCGUAAACCCAAGGUUUCCUACGCGAUGCUCGUCAUCGUAGGGUUAGUCGGGUCCUAAGUCGAGUCCGAAAGGGGUAGACGAUGGCAAAUUGGUUAAUAUUCCAAUACCAACAUUAGUGUGCGAUGGAAGGACGCUUAGGGCUAAGGGGGCUAGCGGAUGGAAGUGCUAGUCUAAGGUCGUAGGUGCUUAUACAGGCAAAUCCGUAUAAGAAUACACCGAGAACUGAAAGGCUUUUUGAAGUCUUCGGAUGGAUAGAAGAACCCCUGAUGCCGUCGAGCCAAGAAAAGUUUCUAAGUUUAGCUAAUGUUGCCCGUACCGUAAACCGACACAGGUGGGUGGGAUGAGUAUUCUAAGGCGCGUGGAAGAACUCUCUUUAAGGAACUCUGCAAAAUAGCACCGUAUCUUCGGUAUAAGGUGUGGUUCGCUUCGUAUUAGGAUUUACUCCGAAAGCGAAGAAACUUACAACAAAGAGUCCCUCCCGACUGUUUACCAAAAACACAGCACUCUGCUAACUCGUAAGAGGAUGUAUAGGGUGUGACGCCUGCCCGGUGCUCGAAGGUUAAUUGAUGGGGUUAGCAUUAGCGAAGCUCUUGAUCGAAGCCCGAGUAAACGGCGGCCGUAACUAUAACGGUCCUAAGGUAGCGAAAUUCCUUGUCGGUUAAAUACCGACCUGCAUGAAUGGCGUAACGAGAUGGGAGCUGUCUCAAAGAGGGAUCCAGUGAAAUUGUAGUGGAGGUGAAAAUUCCUCCUACCCGCGGCAAGACGGAAAGACCCCGUGGACCUUUACUACAGCUUGACACUGCUACUUGGAUAAGAAUGUGCAGGAUAGGUGGGAGGCUUUGAGUAUAUGACGCCAGUUGUAUAUGAGCCAUUGUUGAGAUACCACUCUUUCUUAUUUGGGUAGCUAACCAGCUUGAGUUAUCCUCAAGUGGGACAAUGUCUGGUGGGUAGUUUGACUGGGGCGGUCGCCUCCCAAAUAAUAACGGAGGCUUACAAAGGUUGGCUCAGAACGGUUGGAAAUCGUUCGUAGAGUAUAAAGGUAUAAGCCAGCUUAACUGCAAGACAUACAAGUCAAGCAGAGACGAAAGUCGGUCUUAGUGAUCCGGUGGUUCUGUGUGGAAGGGCCAUCGCUCAAAGGAUAAAAGGUACCCCGGGGAUAACAGGCUGAUCUCCCCCAAGAGCUCACAUCGACGGGGAGGUUUGGCACCUCGAUGUCGGCUCAUCGCAUCCUGGGGCUGGAGCAGGUCCCAAGGGUAUGGCUGUUCGCCAUUUAAAGCGGUACGCGAGCUGGGUUCAGAACGUCGUGAGACAGUUCGGUCCCUAUCUGCCGUGGGCGUAAGAAGAUUGAAGAGAUUUGACCCUAGUACGAGAGGACCGGGUUGAACAAACCACUGGUGUAGCUGUUGUUCUGCCAAGAGCAUCGCAGCGUAGCUAAGUUUGGAAAGGAUAAACGCUGAAAGCAUCUAAGCGUGAAGCCAACUCUAAGAUGAAUCUUCUCUAAGCUCUCUAGAAGACUACUAGUUUGAUAGGCUGGGUGUGUAAUGGAUGAAAGUCCUUUAGCUGACCAGUACUAAUAGAGCGUUUGGCUUAUCUUUA